rnacentral:misc_RNA from 1 species
UGAUUGCAAUUCAGUGAAUCAUCGAGUCUUUGAACGCACAUUGCGCCCCCUGGUAUUCCGGGGGGCAUGCCUGUCCGAGCGUCAUUGCUGCCCUCAAGCCCGGCUUGUGUGUUGGGCCCCGUCCUCCGAUCUCCGGGGGACGGGCCCGAAAGGCAGCGGCGGCACCGCGUCCGGUCCUCGAGCGUAUGGGGCUUUGUCACCCGCUCUGUAGGCCCGGCCGGCGCUUGCCGAUCAACCCAAAUUUUUAUCCAGGUUGACCUCGGAUCAGGUAGGGAUACCCGCUGAACUUAAGCAUAUCAAUAAGGCGGAGGA